UACGAAGGGGGCGAGCGUUGUUCGGAGUUACUGGGCGUAAAGGGCGCGUAGGCGGCGAUCCAAGUUAGGCGUGAAAGCCCCGGGCUUAACCUGGGAAUUGCGCUUAAGACUGGACUGCUUGAGUGCGGGAGAGGUGAGUGGAACUGCGAGUGUAGAGGUGAAAUUCGUAGAUAUUCGCAAGAACACCAGUGGCGAAGGCGGCUCACUGGCCCGAUACUGACGCUGAGGCACGAAAGCGUGGGGAGCAAACAGG
rnacentral:rRNA from 1 species